rnacentral:rRNA from 1 species
UACGGAGGGUGCGAGCGUUGUCCGGAAUCACUGGGCGUAAAGGGCGCGUAGGCGGCCUGAUAAGUAGGGGGUGAAAUCCUGCGGCUUAACCGCAGGGCUGCCUUCUAAACUGUCGGGCUAGAGCACGGUAGAGGCAGAUGGAAUUCCCGGUGUAGCGGUGGAAUGCGUAGAGAUCGGGAGGAACACCUGUGGCGAAGGCGGCCCCCUGGGCCGGCCCUGACACUGAGACGCGAAGGCGUGGGGAGCGAACGGG